AGAGUUUGAUCAUGGCUCAGAACGUACGCUGGCGGCACGCCUAACACAUGCAAGUCGAACGAAGUAGCAAUACUUAGUGGCAGACGGGUGAGUAACAUGUAGGUAUCUUCCCUUUGGCCUGGAAUAACACGAGGAAACUUGUGCUAAUACCGGAUAAGUCUUUACGGAGAAAGCUUUAUGCACCAUUGGAUGAGCCUGCACUUGAUUAGUUUGUUGGUAGGGUAAUGGCCUACCAAGACUGUGAUCAAUAGCUGAUUUGAGAGGAUGAUCAGCCACAUUGGGACUGAGACACGGCCCAAACUCCUACGGGAGGCAGCAGUGGGGAAUCUUGCACAAUGGAGGAAACUCUGAUGCAGCGAUGCCGCGUGAGUGAAGAAGGCCCUUGGGUUGUAAAGCUCUUUCGUCGGGGAAGAAAAUGACUGUACCCGAAUAAGAAGGUCCGGCUAACUUCGUGCCAGCAGCCGCGGUAAUACGAAGGGACCUAGCGUAGUUCGGAAUUACUGGGCUUAAAGAGUUCGUAGGUGGUUGAAAAAGUUGGUGGUGAAAUCCCAGAGCUUAACUCUGGAACUGCCAUCAAAACUUUUCAGCUAGAGUUUGAUAGAGGAAAGCAGAAUUUCUAGUGUAGAGGUGAAAUUCGUAGAUAUUAGAAAGAAUACCAAUUGCGAAGGCAGCUUUCUGGAUCAUUACUGACACUGAGGAACGAAAGCAUGGGUAGCGAAGAGGAUUAGAUACCCUCGUAGUCCAUGCCGUAAACGAUGUGUGUUAGACGUUGGAAAUUUAUUUUCAGUGUCGCAGCGAAAGCGAUAAACACACCGCCUGGGGAGUACGACCGCAAGGUUAAAACUCAAAUGAAUUGACGGGGACCCGCACAAGCGGUGGAGCAUGUGGUUUAAUUCGAAGCAACGCGCAGAACCUUACCAGCCCUUGACAUGUGGAGUUUGGUUAUCAGAGAUGAUUUCCUUCAGUUCGGCUGGCUCCAACACAGGUGCUGCAUGGCUGUCGUCAGCUCGUGUCGUGAGAUGUUGGGUUAAGUCCCGCAACGAGCGCAACCCUCAUCUUUAGUUGCCAUCAGUUAGGCUGAGCACUCUAGAGAAACUGCCUGGGAUGACCAGGAGGAAGGCGAGGAUGACGUCAAGUCCUCAUGGCCCUUAUGGGCUGGGCUACACACGUGCUACAAUGGCGGUGACAAAGGGAAGCAAUAGGGCAACCUGGAGCAAAUCCCUAAAAGCCGUCUCAGUUCGGAUUGUUCUCUGCAACUCGAGAGCAUGAAGUUGGAAUCGCUAGUAAUCGUGGAUCAGCGUGCCACGGUGAAUGCGUUCCCGGGUCUUGUACACACCGCCCGUCACACCAUGGGAGUUGGUUCUACCUUAAGGCAAGGUUUAAUACCCUUGACCACGGUAUAGUCAGCGACUGGGGUGAAGUCGUAACAAGGUAACCGUA
rnacentral:rRNA from 1 species